GCGCCCUUAGCUCAACUGGAUAGAGCAUUUGACUACGGAUCAAAAGGUUAGGGGUUCGACUCCCUUAGGGCGUGCCA
rnacentral:tRNA from 1 species